rnacentral:rRNA from 1 species
UCUCCUGGAAACGGGUGGUAAUGCCGGAUGCUCCGACUCCUCGCAUGGGGUGUCGGGAAAGAUUUCAUCGGUAUGGGAUGGGGUCGCGUCCUAUCAGGUAGUCGGCGGGGUAACGGCCCACCGAGCCUACGACGGGUAGCCGGCCUGAGAGGGCGACCGGCCACAUUGGGACUGAGAUACGGCCCAGACUCCUACGGGAGGCAGCAGUGGGGAAUAUUGCACAAUGGGCGCAAGCCUGAUGCAGCGACGCCGCGUGCGGGAUGACGGCCUUCGGGUUGUAAACCGCUUUUGAUCGGGAGCAAGCCUUCGGGUGAGUGUACCUUUCGAAUAAGCACCGGCUAACUACGUGCCAGCAGCCGCGGUAAUACGUAGGGUGCAAGCGUUAUCCGGAAUUAUUGGGCGUAAAGGGCUCGUAGGCGGUUCGUCGCGUCCGGUGUGAAAGUCCAUCGCUUAACGGUGGAUCUGCGCCGGGUACGGGCGGGCUGGAGUGCGGUAGGGGAGACUGGAAUUCCCGGUGUAACGGUGGAAUGUGUAAAUAU